AUGGAGCCGACCUUGAAAUACCACCCUUUAAUGUUUGAUGUUCUAACGUUGACCCGUAAUCCGGGUUGCGGACAGUGUCUGGUGGGUAGUUUGACUGGGGCGGUCUCCUCCUAAAGAGUAACGGAGGAGCACGAAGGUUGGCUAAUCCUGGUCGGACAUCAGGAGGUUAGUGCAAUGGCAUAAGCCAGCUUGACUGCGAGCGUGACGGCGCGAGCAGGUGCGAAAGCAGGUCAUAGUGAUCCGGUGGUUCUGAAUGGAAGGGCCAUCGCUCAACGGAUAAAAGGUACUCCGGGGAUAACAGGCUGAUACCGCCCAAGAGUUCAUAUCGACGGCGGUGUUUGGCACCUCGAUGUCGGCUCAUCACAUCCUGGGGCUGAAGUAGGUCCCAAGGGUAUGGCUGUUCGCCAUUUAAAGUGGUACGCGAGCUGGGUUUAGAACGUCGUGAGACAGUUCGGUCCCUAUCUGCCGUGGGCGCUGGAGAACUGAGGGGGGCUGCUCCUAGUACGAGAGGACCGGAGUGGACGCAUCACUGGUGUUCGGGUUGUCAUGCCAAUGGCACUGCCCGGUAGCUAAAUGCGGAAGAGAUAAGUGCUGAAAGCAUCUAAGCACGAAACUUGCCCCGAGAUGAGUUCUCCCUGACCCUUUAAGGGUCCUGAAGGAACGUUGAAGACGACGACGUUGAUAGGCCGGGUGUGUAAGC
rnacentral:rRNA from 1 species